GCCACGGGGGCGUGGCACAUCAAGCGCCACCCGAACGGGAAAAGAAACAAUAGCAGGGACAGGAGCAGCCGAUAUUUACAAUGUGUCUCUCCUCGCCAAAAAGUCGUAAAGUAAAAGUCGCACUUUUGGUGCCCUACGAUAAAACUGCCCGUCUCGCAGAGAGGAGAGAAAUGAAAGGAAAAAGCGACACAUAUCAACCCAGAUUUCUCCCGAUAUUGUCGAAGGAGGCGUGGCCCUGUUUGUGGCGUGCAUAUCAAUGCUGCCGGACAGGUGCGGGUCCUGAGGGCCGCCCCCGGGGCCGCAGAUGGGCGCCCCCGAUAGCAGCCAGAGGCGGCCAGAGGCCGGGGAGCCUCUCGGUGUUGUGACUUUUCACCCCAUACCUUCACGCCACCGUAUAAGGGCGGCAAAGAAUGUAUGGGUCGGUCCAACCGAAGGGGUGAGAAAAGGGCUGCUAGAUAAUGGGAGAGGUUUCGCCUCAAAAACCCACAAAAUCUUGAGCAAACUAACACUCAAUAACCUGUAAUUAUUUCCUAAUUUCCGCCAAGGCCGGCCCGCGUGCGCUCACCUUCCUCAUCCUGCUCCCCCUCCUCCCCCUGGUGUCGCAGAGUAAUCGUCGCGCAGGAACUUGUCACGGUGUUCAUCAUUUUCAAAGAGAUGGACCUCAGCAGGGACGCCAAAGAGUGGAGUUUUCCUGUUCGCCCUUCAUGGAUCAAAUCAACGACACUUCCAUCUACACACACCUCGGCGUGGCGGGGCGUGUAGCGGGGCGUCCGGUCCAGCACGUGGAGCACGCGCCGCCAGAGAUUUAUUGGUUAUCAGCGCGUCGUUCGGCUGCGUCCGGGAAGGUGCUGCGCUCAUCCCGGCGGAUUCUUACGCAGCCGUGGGGAGACACCCCAAAAAAUUGGUCAUCGCCGGACCCGGACAGCCGGACGUUGCGAAGGCUAGACAAAAGAGAUUUGAAGCUGGUCAGACGGGUGCCCAAUUACUGCUUGCAAAAACGGUCAUCUUUCUGCCAUCGUAUAGCGUAGGAUGGUAGCGGGUGGCUGUUCCACUCUACGAUGAAGCGGUCACCCCGUCGCCUCGGUUGUCUUGCCUGCCGAUCGAAUAAUCGACCCGGAAUUUGUGGACCACCUCUGGAGCCCACCUAGGCCUGCGCCGCACCCCUUGCCUCCAGCCGAGCCUCCAGCAGCCCAGUCCGCUCGCCUUAAACGACACGUGUAACCAGUGUAACAGAUAUCAUGAAAAAUUGCAAAAGACGACGCCAGAGCGUUGUGCUCACUGUACUCAACAACACCUGUGCUGGGCCUAUUAUUGUUGUGUGAGGAGAGGCCUGAGGCCCCAGGGCCCCGUCACCUUCGCCGUGCAGGGCCUCAUCUCCAGCCAUGAUAAAUCCAUUGCGGGCCGUCUUGCCGAGUAAGCAAGCCAACGGCCGUACACUGUUCACACUCGCACCCCUGUUCAAAGAAGUAAUGUCUUAUAAAUUUUCUAUGUUGGUGAAUAUCAGUAGUUAAAUUUUGGUGAACUUUGAAGAGGGGGGAGAAAGGCAGGCGCGUUUAGGACACUGAUUUAGUAUUUAUUUUCUCAUUUCCAAAAUUGACUCGCGAGUUGCCCCCUCAUUACUUUCUGAAUAUUCGAUUUGACGUUUUUUGUUGGCGGUGCCCCCACCGUCCUCAUAUCGGACGGUCCGUAAUGCUGGUCGGCUACCGUGCUGUGCACCGCCGAUGCAAUAGCGUACAGUCUGGACGGUGGUCGGUGCGAUAUCGCGUGGCCUGGUGCUAUGUGGGUGGUCCCAUCCUCUCUCCGCCCAGGCUCCUCUGAUGCCCACACGCUCGGACCCUUAUACCCCUGCGGAUUAAAAGCGUCUUGCUAUGUGCUUUUUAUUUCAAGCUCAGCCCCGCCACCCACCACCGCUUGCCACUGCUCGUCUCAUCCCCUUUUAUUUUCGUCGGGGGAAGAUUACUUUCACUUCCGUCUCAAGAAAAACAUACGCAGAGUUUAAGACUCGCUCAGAUGCAGCCUCCCCAGAGGGACUUCACAGAAGCCGCCUGGAUGGGCGCAUGGGGUUCUCUAUUUCAGCACUCUCAACUGUCGACUUACUUCGUCGUCCACGGCCUCGUUCCCUGCUCCCUGCAGACUCACGGCGUGAUUGAUGUUGCGAUCACAACAGCACACGGGCGGUUGGCCCCCGUGACCCCGCGCUGUCCGCGGCGCUGUCGGCAGCAUUACGAGUGAUUGUCGAGUUGUAAAUGUGUUUGAUCGGCAAUUUAUUAAAUCCGCAAUAAUUAUACUCAACAAUGGCAUCGUUUUA